UGGGGAAUAUUGGACAAUGGGCGCAAGCCUGAUCCAGCAACGCCGCGUGGAGGACGAAGGUCUUCGGAUCGUAAACUCCUGUCAGGCGGGACGAAAAGGCGCCGGCAAACAGCCGGCGUCUCUGACGGUACCGCCAGAGGAAGCCCCGGCUAACUCCGUGCCAGCAGCCGCGGUAAUACGGAGGGGGCGAGCGUUAUUCGGAAUUAUUGGGCGUAAAGGGCGCGUAGGCGGCUUGGUAAGUCAAAGGUGAAAUCCCUCGGCUCAACUGAGGAACUGCCUUUGAAACUGCCUGGCUCGAGGCCGGGAGGGGGUAGCGGAAUUCCCAAUGUAGCGGUGAAAUGCGUAGAUAUUGGGAGGAACACCGGUGGCGAAGGCGGCUACCUGGACCGGUUCUGACGCUGAUGCGCGAAAGCGUGGGGAGCAAACAGGAUUAGAUACCCCUGUAGUCC
rnacentral:rRNA from 1 species